GGGCCAAUCGUAUAGUGGCUUAUUAUGCUGUCUUAGGGUUUCACGGCUGCGAGGUUGCAACCAGGAUUCUAAGUUGACAGAGGUCCCCGGUUCGAUUCCGGGUUGGCCCC
rnacentral:tRNA from 1 species